rnacentral:lncRNA from 1 species
CUUUCUGGAAACGUUUAGUAGACACACCGACACUAUGUUUCUUGUGGGAUCCCAAAGCCACUCGAGUUGAAGAUGGAGAUACACCAUCCCUUCUGGGCAGAGUUAUGCAGCAUCAGGACCAGCAGACGCUUGCCCUCUGUCAG